UACGUAGGCAGCAAGCGUUGUUCGGAGUUACUGGGCGUAAAGGGUGCGUAGGCGGUUGUUUAAGUUUGGUGUGAAAUCUCCCGGCUCAACUGGGAGGGUGCGCCGAAUACUGAAUGACUAGAGUGCGGGAGAGGAGAGUGGAAUUCCUGGUGUAGCGGUGAAAUGCGUAGAUAGUCAAGGAGGAACACCGGUGGUGUAGACGGCUCUCUGGACCGUAACUGACGCUGAGGCACGAAAGCGUGGGUAGCAAACAGG
rnacentral:rRNA from 1 species